AACGAACGCUGGCGGCAUGCCUAACACAUGCAAGUCGAACGAGACCUUCGGGCCUAGUGGCGCAUGGGUGCGUAACGCGUGGGAAUCUGCCCUUGGGUUCGGAAUAACAGUUGGAAACGACUGCUAUUACCGGAUGAUGACGUAAGUCCAAAGAUUUAUCGCCCAAGGAUGAGCCCGCGUAGGAUUAGCUAGUUGGUGAGGUAAAGGCUCACCAAGGCGACGAUACUUAGCUGGUCUGAGAGGAUGAUCAGCCACACUGGGACUGAGACACGGCCCAGACUCCUACGGGAGGCAGCAGUGGGGAAUAUUGGACAGUCGGGGAAAGCCUGAUCCAGCAAUGCCGCGUGAGUGAUGAAGGGGUUAGGGUUGUAAAGAGCUUUUACCCGGGAUGAUAAUGACAGUACCGGGAGAAUAAGCACCGGCUAACUCCGUG
rnacentral:rRNA from 1 species